AGCUUUGCGCAGUGGCAGUAUCGUAGCCAAUGAGGUUUAUCCGAGGCGCGAUUAUUGCUAAUUGAAAACUUUUCCCAAUACCCCGCCAUGACAACUUGAAAUAUAGUUGGCAUGGGCAAUUUUUGACAGCCUCUAUGGAGA
ensembl:snRNA U4 U4 spliceosomal RNA